UGGAGAAUAUUGGACAAUGGGCGAAAGCCUGAUCCAGCCAUGCCGCGUGUGUGAAGAAGGUCUUCGGAUUGUAAAGCACUUUAAGUUGGGAGGAAGGGCAUUAACCUAAUACGUUAGUGUUUUGACGUUACCGACAGAAUAAGCACCGGCUAACUCUGUGCCAGCAGCCGCGGUAAUACAGAGGGUGCAAGCGUUAAUCGGAAUUACUGGGCGUAAAGCGCGCGUAGGUGGUUUGUUAAGUUGGAUGUGAAAUCCCCGGGCUCAACCUGGGAACUGCAUUCAAAACUGACUGACUAGAGUAUGGUAGAGGGUGGUGGAAUUUCCUGUGUAGCGGUGAAAUGCGUAGAUAUAGGAAGGAACACCAGUGGCGAAGGCGACCACCUGGACUAAUACUGACACUGAGGUGCGAAAGCGUGGGGAGCAAACA
rnacentral:rRNA from 1 species